UAAAUAUACAAAGUAAAUAAAGAAUGAAACUUGGUUAAUGAAACAUGACCAAAUGGUAACUAAUUAGGUGAUAAAGUCUAACUUAAAACAUAUUAUCAAAGUAGGAGGACUAAAGUGCAAAUAUUAAACAAAUAGGGGUUUAAUUAGUGAAGGAAAAGAAAAACACCAUAUCUGGUGUUGGGAUCGAUCGAACAAGGGCAGGGAGAGGGUGAAUAACCCUAAACUCAAGAAAAUAAGAAUUGAAGCUAAAAUCUCAAGGGAAAUUCGAUGCAUGAGCCCUCCUUUGCGAAAAUCUAACCCUAAGUAUUGAAGUGGCGUGAAAGAAGAAGGUACAAGCACUAAGCAAGCGGAAGGAGCACAAGAUCGAGGUAAAGCACCUCUAUAGGCGAUUUGGAGUUAUGGGACGAGCACAUGUUCAAGCCUUGUAAUACCAAGCGCUUCCGCAACUUAUAUGCAUACUUUUGGGUCCAUGUUUUGUUACUUUGUUAAACUUUGUUGAAAUGUUUUAGACUUAAAAAUUCAUUACUUUUGUUGGAAUGGUUUUAUGUAAACGUUGAAUGUUAUGUUAAAAACAGGGGGUAUGUCCGUUUUACGAACGGGUCAUGCCCAAUUUUUGUAAAAAUUUCUAUUAAGUGUCAAAGUUGCAUUUC